AUGGCCGAGAUUGACACGAGGCCCCUAGAAUCUGUGCAGUCCGCCCUGAAUCUCUUCGAGCAGAGAAGCGACCACAGCAGGUUCAGCAGCCCUGACAGAAACGGGCAGGAGAUCGACGUCGUGACCAAGGAGCUGGCGACCUGCAAGCUGCAGCUGGAGGCCAAGGAGAGCGAGAACAAGCAGGCGCACAUGAAACUGGAGGCCCUGCGGAAGUCCAUGCAGGAGCUCUCGGAGAAGUACGACCGGGCGUGCCUGGACGCGCACCGCCGCAUCACCGAGCUCGAGGCCGACAACGUCGCCAUCACCACCAGGCAGUCCCAGGCGGCGGCCGAGUGCGAGGCGCUGCGCGACGAGCUUGACGUCGCGGUGGACGAGCUCGACGCCGUGAAGCGCGCCAACGCGUACGUGCUCGGGGAGGUGGAGUCCAUGGAGACGCGGCGGAUCCUGGAGCGGGAGAGCGCGCGGGACGGGCUGAUGCGCGUGCUGGAGCUCAACGAGGCCGUGCUGGAGUCGGCCGUCGCGGCCAUCAGGGCGGAGGAGGAGCGGUCCGUGUACUUCCAGGAAGUCACGCUCGAGCUGUUCAGCUCUGACAAGAACCUGAAGACCAUCAGGAGGCAGAAGGAGACGAUGGAGGGCAUGGAGGGGGAGCUGCUGGCCAAAACGGUGGAGGUCGAGUGUCUGCGGUCUGAGCUCAUACAGCUCAAGGACCUUUACGUCUCGGUGUCAGAACGGGUCAUGGUUCCGGCCUCGACGGCGGUGCGCCAUGCCGACGGCGAUGCUGGGGCAAACCCUGCCGACACGGGUGGGUCUUUGAUGACGACCACGUCGACGUCAAUGCUGGCAAGUCUGACAAUGACAAGGGAAGCCAAGAACCACGAGGAGAAGUCGCUGCUGAUCUUGUCAAUGGCUGUCCAGAAGUUGCAGAAGCCUAUUUUGACAUUGAAUUGCCGAGGGAGGACUGUCGAAACAUUCAAUCUGGUGACGGGAAUAUCAACGUUGCAACGUCUGCUGAUGUCGUGCAAGUUCAGGCAGGACAGAGAAGGAGAGUUCGUUUCAUGCCUGAAAGCCCGAUGGAGGAUUUCAAGAGCGUGA
rnacentral:rRNA from 1 species